rnacentral:rRNA from 1 species
GAGGAAUAUUGGACAAUGGAGGAAACUCUGAUCCAGCCAUGCCGCGUGCAGGAUGAAUGCCCUAUGGGUUGUAAACUGCUUUUAUACAGGAAGAAACAUUUCCACGUGUGGAAACUUGACGGUACUGUAAGAAUAAGGAUCGGCUAACUCCGUGCCAGCAGCCGCGGUAAUACGGAGGAUCCAAGCGUUAUCCGGAAUUAUUGGGUUUAAAGGGUCCGUAGGUGGUUAUUUAAGUCAGAGGUGAAAUCCUGCCGCUUAACGGUAGAACUGCCUUUGAUACUGAUUAACUUGAGUUAUUGUGAAGUAGUUAGAAUAUGUAGUGUAGCGGUGAAAUGCAUAGAUAUUACAUAGAAUACCGAUUGCGAAGGCAGAUUACUAACAAUAUACUGACACUGAGGGACGAAAGCGUGGGUAGCGAAC